rnacentral:rRNA from 1 species
CGGGUGAGUAACGCGUAGAAUCACCCAGUAGUGGGGGACAACAUGGUGAAAACCAUGCUAUACCGCAUACGCCCUAUGGGGGAAAGCGGGGGACCUUCGGGCCUCGCGCUAUUGGAUGAGCCUGCGUCGGAUUAGCUUGUUGGUGAGGUAAAGGCUCACCAAGGCGACGAUCCGUAGCUGGUCUGAGAGGAUGAUCAGCCACACUGGAACUGAGACACGGUCCAG